rnacentral:lncRNA from 1 species
GGAUAAGACCGUGGAGAUAUAUGUCUUUAUGUGCAUUAACGAGUUAUUAUGGGGCAUUUAAAUUAACUCCUUAUAAUUUGGUUUUGAUGUUCGUGGGGCCUUAUUUGAAUUUUGGUGAUUGAAUUUGAGUUUAUUGGUUGGUUAUGAUGAUUUACACCUUGCGAUAGUACUAUGAUUUUGCUUUGGUUUUGGGAUUGAUUUUGUGGGAUUAGGACCAUCAAGACUAAUCAAUUACUCUAAUGUUUUAGAGCACAUGAAGUACAUGCGUUACAGCACAGGAAGUACAUGAAUUAUAAUAAAUUAUUCCAACACCUGAGUCCUAGGAAGCUCGCCUACUAUUCCGGAGUAAUUUCUUAUUUUCAGGGCAUGAAGUUCUUGGGG